rnacentral:rRNA from 1 species
UACAGAGACUGCAAGCGUUAUUCGGAUUCACUGGGCGUAAAGGGUGCGCAGGCGGUUGGGUGUGUCAGAUGUGAAAUCCCGAGGCUCAACCUCGGAACUGCGUCUGAAACUACUUGACUAGAGUAUUGGAGAGGGUAACGGAAUUCACGGUGUAGCAGUGAAAUGCGUAGAUAUCGUGAGGAACACCAGAGGCGAAGGCGGUUACCUGGACAAUUACUGACGCUCAGGCACGAAAGCAUGGGGAGCAAAAGGG